rnacentral:rRNA from 1 species
AUGCCGAAGACCUCCUCGUCGCCUUCCCCCACCGUCGCCCCCAUGAAUCCCCUCCUCCCCUCCUCCUCCUCCUCCUCCUACCUCAAAUCCCACCACCCGCCGGACCCGGACCCCGGCUCCCCGAGCCCCAGCCCCUGCAGCUACCUCCUCCACGUCGACGCCGACGACGAGGCGCUGAUCCAAAUCCCCGGCGGCCCGAACCCUAGCCCGGGGGGCCCCGCCGCCGCCUCGCCCGCGCUGCCGCCCGUCGACCCGACGCCGCACAUCUCCUCGCAGUUCUACACCUUCACCGCCGCCUCGCACGCGCUCAUGCUGCGCUGCAUCCUCGCCGGCCGCCCCGCCGUCGCCGAGGAGGUCCGCGCUGCCACCUCCCUCUCCGUGCUCGCCUCCUGGCGGGCGGUCUGGAAGGACCGCAACGAGGACACCGCCUACCUCACCGCGUGGAAGCGCAUCCAGGACAAGCUCGCCGCCUCGGCCGACGGCCGCCACCUCCACUUCAAGUCCAACCCCGCGCAGCGCGUCUCCCAUGUCGGCCAGUGGCUGGACAUAGUCUCGGAGGCGCACGCGGACCCGGACCUGCUCCGCCACCUCGGCCUCAAGGACACCGUCGAGCGUAUCCGGCAGGCCUGGACUGUGGGAGCCAAAUUCUAUGGUAUUCCCGAAUCAUUUGUCAGGGUAUGUGUUGCUGCGUGCCCUGUUUGUAAGGCUGCACCUGCUGGACAGCCUGAUUCUGCCAUCUCAUCGCCAGGACGUGGUAAGCGGCGCCGCAGGUUUGAAUAUACGGAGACGCUGGAUGUGCCGGCACGAGACGUGCCACGCCGGCUACAGCAGCUGGCUGCCAAGCACAAGGUGGUCCUCUGUAUUAGGCAGAAGUAUAUAAGGUAUAAGCCAUUCAUGGCCGAGGUGAAGGAUUAUGCAUGCCAUCGUGCUGGAGUGCCAACUUCAAGUAGUGGGAAUACUGUGUCCUCUUCAGCCAGCGCCUCUGAGGCGAAGAAGCCACGGGGGCUGAAGCGGGAGCCAUACCAAUCCAAGAGGUGUGGCUGUGGGUUCCGUAUCAGGGCUAUUGUGCCCAUAGCCAAUUAUAAUGAGAAAGACAAGAGUUUUGUAUAUCAAGAAGAGGGCACUGCAGUGUUCAAGCUUUACGCCGUGCACUCAGGGCAUGAGCCCGGGCCACUUGAUGGCAGUGCUCGGAUUGUUCACAGGUUAGUUGGGCAUCAGGGGACAUUUGAGUUUGAUCCAGACAUAUAUGAUGUCAAUGAGGAAGGUGAGCCUAGCUUUUUGAUUAAGGGGGAUGUAGAUGUUGACAUUGAUGACUCGCAUCAGGCAGUCUUGCAGCAAGUCCGGGAGCUCAGAGCAGAGGUGGUCUCCCUAGAAGGGAAGGUGGCUAAGAUGCACCCAGAGCUAUUGGGUUCUCUUUCCAAUGAGCUAUCUGAGGUGUUGCACAGGAUUAGGAAGUUUAAUUUGGAUGGCAACACUUACCAGCCAGAGGAGACAUUGAUGAUGGGCAAUGAGGUCGGGGGAUGGGCGACUGGUGAUGUGUCGCACCACUUAGAUCAUCACGAUGGUGCAUUCUGCAAGGAGGAUGACAUGCUUGAUGACGAUGAUACUGAUUUUGGUUCGAGCCUUGGGCCCAUCGUCUCAUGGGAUAGAAUGGCAGCAGAGUGCGAGGACAGGAAGAUGCUAAUGGGUGAUAGCCCAAAGUGUGAUAAGUGGAUGCUGAAGGAGAAUGUUGGUGACUUUGAUGAAAAGAGUAUACUUAACUGUGGGGAUGAAGAUGGUGGCGAGGAUUCCAAGAUUAUUAAGCCAUUGAUGCAUGAUGACACCAUGGUAACUGACUCAAGUUUGUUAGGCAUACAAAUAGACGGAUUCUACUCUGGGCCCAAGUGGUAUGAUUCACCUGUAGGUUUAGAUUCCAGUGGCGAUGCAGGAGAUGUCAGUUUUAGACAUGGACUUGUGUGA